GCUAUGCUGUGCUGGGAGGUAGGGGACCUGGGUCUGGACUCCCUGCAAUAAUUCCUCAGUCAUCGAAAUCAAUCAAUCUAUGCGCUAGACUGGAGUCUCAAAGAAUUAACACAAAGAUGACACAGUUCCUGCCCUCAAGGGGUUUUCAUUCUACCGGAGAAUACAACACAUACACAUAUUAAGGACAUAAAAAGCAAUUUCGUGAGAUUAUGGAAACCUUCUCAGACUCAUGUUUGUUGCCCACAUUCAUAAGAGAAGGAAAUGCUAAAUUUCCAUCCAAGGCAAACCAGCCCUUUUGUCACCAGCCAAAAUUAGGUCAUUGUUUGAAGACUGGAUCCUGUCCAUCAGCUAUAUUAUUGAAAAGCCAUGAGCUCAUCGCCGAGCCAGCCUGCCCAUGACAAUGGAAGGCCAGGCUCUGAAUGUUCAUUGUGUCCUGACUGAUAGAACCUUGAAUGGCACAUUCACUAACUCAGCAGAGCUGAGGCGGGUUGGCGUUCUUUGCUCAUAACCAAAGAGGCUGUUUUUCUUUCCUUCCUGCUGAGAAUGCUGUAUGUGGCUGCCACUCCAGUAGCCCAGAUGAGUCACAGCUGUAAAAUCUGCCAAGCUCCGGCACACAGGAAAGUGUUAUAGAAAUAUAAAUUAUUGUUAUCGUCUCCCAGCCAGCGUCACUCCCGCUAAUUAUGCCACUUUUACCGGCUCAUUUGUGCCUUCAUCAACACUCAACCCGAAGGGAUGGGUUUGAUCAUCCUCAGUCAUAGACAACCUGCGACCACAUUCUUGGGGCUUAGCAGGAAAAGCUGAGCCUGGGAGCCACAAAGGGAGCUAAGUGGAGGCUUGGGAAGUAUAAAGUCUGGAGGCUGUUUAACCUGGGCUAUAAAAACCAUGCUGGGUGGAUGACCCAGAACCUUUGGUUUCUUUCUUCAUUUACAUUUGUAGCUGUCGUCACCCUGUUGACUCAUCGAGCUUAAAGUCAACAAAAACACAUCAGUGUUUUGAUAAUUGAAAUAAAAUUUUGGAAAAUAAAUGUAAAGAAUGUGGCAAAAAGGGAAAA